CAAAUAGUCCCUUCGUCCGGAAAUACUUGUCAUCAAAAUGGAUAAAAGGAAAUGUAUCUAGACAUAUUUUAGUUUUAGAUACAUCUCUUUUUAUCCAUUUUGACGACAAGUAUUUUCGGACGGAGGGAGUAGAAA
rnacentral:pre_miRNA from 1 species